GACCAUCCUGGCUAAUAUGGUGAAACCCCGUCUCCACUAAAAAAUACAAANNNNNNNNNNAAAAAAAACACAGGGUCCUGAUAAAUCAGGGUUCCUUGCUGAGUUCACACUAAGAAGAUGUGCAGACAGGUGCCUGCGGGGCAGCCUGCAAUGCUCACAAGCUUAGCUCCGGUUGGUGAUAACAGCCUUUGAGCGACUGAUACUUUUGAUUUGUCUACCUAGAGAAGUGCACCCAGCUUAUGAUGCUGGUUUUUGAAAUGGGGUUGCUAUUCCCAUGGUGAGUGUCUUGGGGGAGUUUGGGGAUGGUAGUUGGAGUUAUAAAUUCAACUGAGGUCUUUUGUUUCAUUCUGGAGCAUUAUUAGAACCCUCGUGAAGGGGGUUGCUAUUUCAGGAGGAGCUGCAGUGGCCAACCAGGAGUGUGCUGGUCUCCUUUCUGGUCUUCCUCCUGCUCAGCCGGGCUGCUGCUUCUGGUGUCUGGUUGCUUCC
rnacentral:lncRNA from 1 species